rnacentral:rRNA from 1 species
AUUGAACGCUGGCGGCAUGCCUUACACAUGCAAGUCGAACGGCAGCACGGGAGCAAUCCUGGUGGCGAGUGGCGAACGGGUGAGUAAUAUAUCGGAACGUGCCCAGUCGUGGGGGAUAACGUAGCGAAAGCUACGCUAAUACCGCAUACGAUCUACGGAUGAAAGCGGGGGAUCGCAAGACCUCGCGCGAUUGGAGCGGCCGAUAUCAGAUUAGCUAGUUGGUGGGGUAAAAGCUCACCAAGGCGACGAUCUGUAGCUGGUCUGAGAGGACGACCAGCCACACUGGAACUGAGACACGGUCCAGACUCCUACGGGAGGCAGCAGUGGGGAAUUUUGGACAAUGGGCGCAAGCCUGAUCCAGCAAUGCCGCGUGCAGGAUGAAGGCCUUCGGGUUGUAAACUGCUUUGUACGGUAACGAAACGGUAGAGCUCUAAUAAAGACUUGCUAAUGACGGUACCGUAAGAAUAAGACACCGGCUAACUACGUAGCCAGCAGCCG